rnacentral:rRNA from 1 species
AGAGUUUGAUCCUGGCUCAGGACGAACGCCGGCGGCGUGCUUAACACAUGCAAGUCGAGGGCACUUGGGGGGCAACUCUCAAGUGACCGGCGAACGGGUGCGUAACACGUGAGCGAUCUACCCUGGUGUGGGGGAUAGCCGGCCCAACGGCCGGGUAAUACCGCAUACGCUCGUCGGGAGGCAUCUCCGGACGAACAAAGCCUUCGGGCGCACUGGGAGGGGCUCGCGGCCUAUCAGCUUGUUGGCGGGGUAAUGGCCCACCAAGGCGACGACGGGUAGCUGGUCUGAGAGGAUGGCCAGCCACAUUGGGACUGAGAGACGGCCCAGACUCCUACGGGAGGCAGCAGUGGGGAAUAUUGGACAAUGGGGGCAACCCUGAUCCAGCCAUGCCGCGUGAGUGAUGAAGGCCUUCGGGUUGUAAAGCUCUUUUGGCGGGGACGAUGAUGACGGUACCCGCAGAAUAAGCCCCGGCUAACUUCGUGCCAGCAGCCGCGGUAAU